rnacentral:rRNA from 1 species
CCUACGGGAGGCUGCAGUGAGGAAUAUUGGUCAAUGGGCGCGAGCCUGAACCAGCCAAGUAGCGUGAAGGAUGACUGCCCUACGGGUUGUAAACUUCUUUUAUAAGGGAAUAAAGUGCGGGACGUGUCCCGUUUUGUAUGUACCUUAUGAAUAAGGAUCGGCUAACUCCGUGCCAGCAGCCGCGGUAAUACGGAGGAUCCGAGCGUUAUCCGGAUUUAUUGGGUUUAAAGGGUGCGUAGGCGGCCUUUUAAGUCAGCGGUGAAAGUCUGUGGCUCAACCAUAGAAUUGCCGUUGAAACUGGGAGGCUUGAGUAUGUUUGAGGCAGGCGGAAUGCGUGGUGUAGCGGUGAAAUGCUUAGAUAUCACGCAGAACCCCGAUUGCGAAGGCAGCCUGCCAAGCCAUGACUGACGCUGAUGCACGAAAGCGUGGGGAUCAAACAGGAUUAGAUACCCUGGUAGUC